rnacentral:rRNA from 1 species
ACUCAAAUGAAUUGACGGGGACCCGCACAAGCAGUGGAGUAUGUGGUUUAAUUCGAAGCAACGCGAAGAACCUUACCAGGUCUUGACAUCCCUCUGACCGGUGCAGAGAUGUGCCUUUCCUUCGGGACAGAGGAGACAGGUGGUGCAUGGUUGUCGUCAGCUCGUGUCGUGAGAUGUUGGGUUAAGUCCCGCAACGAGCGCAACCCUUAGCUUUAGUUGCCAGCAUGAGAGAUGGGCACUCUAGAGCGACUGCCGGUGACAAACCGGAGGAAGGUGGGGAUGACGUCAAAUCAUCAUGCCCCUUAUGACCUGGGCUACACACGUACUACAAUGGCCGGUACAGAGGGAAGCGAAGGAGCGAUCUGGAGCGAAUCCCAAAAAAGCGGUCUCAGUUCGGAUUGCAGGCUGCAACUCGCCUGCAUGAAGUCGGAAUUGCUAGUAAUCGCGGAUCAGCAUGCCGCGGUGAAUACGUUCCCGGGUCUUGCACACACCGCCCGU